GCUAUUUGGGCCUUCGGGUGGGUCUGUUUAAGUUAGGCUGGUCUAGGUAGGGUCAAGUUUUGGCUGCUGGAUCUGUUGUAUUUGGGCUACGGGACUACUUUAAGGUUUUGGGUAGUGGGCCUGCUGGGUAGUUUUAGGUACUGAUUUGGCUAUUGGGUUGUAACUGGGUAUGGGCUUUUGUAACCUGGACUGUUUAAUAAAUAAAUAUUUAUUUAUUUA
rnacentral:lncRNA from 1 species